rnacentral:tRNA from 1 species
GUCUUCGUGGCUCAGUUGGCUAGAGCGUUGGUCUCAUAUUUAUAUGAUCCAGUUAUACACUGGGCUAUCCAAAGGUCGUGAGUUCGAGCCUCACCGAGGACA